UUAAAUAUUUAUUUUAUACCCUGCAGCCCAAGACCGGUUACUCACUGAAGCUAAGCAGAACUGAGCCUAGUCAGUACCUGGAUGGGAGACCACAUGGGAAAAUUAGGUUGCUGUUGGAA
rnacentral:rRNA from 1 species